GGUUUUCUUCCUUUAAAAAGUUUCAAGACAACUGGUGAAAUUCCAAAUAUAAAUCACGAUAUAAUGUACUUCGAUGAAACUUCUACCUUCUGACACGGAGCCAGCGAAAUAAACUAUCUUAAGGCUAAACACGUGUACUGUACGAGAGAACGCCAGUACCUAGCAAAUGUACCAUUAGAACACUUUGUGCUCAAGCGAAGAAGAACUCGAGAGGCAAGUUGCCAUGCCCGAAUCAAACUACUAUCGCACAAUAUCGAUCUACACUUGCUACAGAGCACCUGGCGUGGCCUGAGCCUGACCGUUGGCCGUGCAUUCUUGUACCUGGCCGGCGGAUUGAUGUUCCUACGAAGAUCGACUUUCGCGGUAGUCAGCGAGUUCUUCCUCUCUUGAAAGUAGCUGAAUCGAGCCGCUAUCGUCGCCAAUUUGUCGCCAUCCGGGUCCGGUACAGGUUCCGGGGGUUGCACGCCACACGGUAGGCCUCUGAAAAUAACCGUGCACAAUGAAUGAUUGUUAAUGAUCGGUCGAUCAGUCGUUGAAUGUUACCCAGUUUGAAUAGAGAGUAAUUCCGGAGAUUUGUACACGUUACAGCAUUAUAUGCAUACUUGUUUUAUGAAUGAUGUAGGCGUUUAUAAUGGAUGUAUAAAUUAUAUCUGUUUUAAAUGAUCACCGCUGGAAAUUUGUGCAUACACAGUGACACGUAUAAUCGCGGUAAAUACUGUGGUAUACGUGUUAGUUCCGCUACUAUUAAAGGAUUAUGCGACAAUUAGGAGAUUAACUCUCUAAAUACGUAAUGUACGUGCAGAUACGUGAUAAGCGAGUGUUUAAAGUAAAAAUUAAUGUCGCGGACAACUAAUUUGUUUAAGGAAUUUCACAUGUAUUGAUGUAAAACGUGGCAUUGUUAGAACAAUAUUAAGGGAUAUUUCUUAUUUUAAUAUUUGAUUGAGAGAAAACUAAAUUCCUUAAGAAACUUCACGACGCCUGUUGAUCGGUGUGUAUUUACUUAAUAUCAAGCAUGAUAGACAAGUAGCGUCAGUGUAUGCUAAUUAUCUAUUAUUACGAAAGUAUCGAUAUUAUAAAAACGAUGCACUGAAAAUUGGCUACACUGUUGCAAGUCGUAAUAUCCCAACGUUUCUUUCGCUGCCAGGACUCUACUUCCUUCCCGAAGAUUACGAUUUCAUUUUAUUCCUUGAAUCUUUCAUUAGAAGGAUUCAGUAUCGGAUUGGAAGAAGACGAAUCGAUUGGGUUAGUCGGCGAGCUGGGAAUUCGAACGCCACGUUGCUGGAUUAUCUGGGUCAUUGAUAGACUGUAUUUCCUUCCGAGCUUAACAGUUUAAUGUAUCAAGUUGUUUAUGAUAAACUGGAAAACCUACUAUAAAUUGAUAAUUUGUUCUGAUCAACAGAGCGCGAUUAAAAAUUCGAUAUUGUGUAAGGGAUCGAAAGAUAAAUACGAAUGAAACUCUAUUCUA
rnacentral:misc_RNA from 1 species